rnacentral:rRNA from 1 species
CAAUAGCGUAUAUUAAUUUUGUUGCAGUUAAAAAGCUCGUAGUUGGAUUUCUUUUGAAUACUUAGGGUUUGCAUGUUGUAUUAAGCUUUUAUGCUUUAUACCAUGUUCCUAUUAUUCAAAAUAAUUUGUAUAUUUCUGUAUUUGAAAGAUUCAUUAUUAUUUAUUAAUUUAAAUAGUUUUGGAGAUUUCAGUACAUUUUUAAGAAGUAUACAUCGUUUACUGUGAAAAAAUCAAAGCGUCCAAAGCAGGCUUUAUGCUCUCUGAAUGUCUCAGCAUGGAAUAAUAAGAUAGGUUUCAUCCUCAUUUUGUUGGUUUGCAAGGAAGAAAAAUGAUUAAAAGGGACAGUUGGGGGUAUUCGUAUUCGGUUGUCAGAGGUGAAAUUCUUGGAUUUACUGAAGACGAACUACUGCGAAAGCAUUUACCAAGGAUGUUUUCAUUAA